CCCGCUUCUCGCGGCGGGCGGGGCGGGGGCACGGGGGGAACGCGAAGAACCUUACCUGGCCUUGACAUGGUAAGAACUUUCCAGAGAUGGAUUGGUGCCUUCGGGAACUUACAUACAGGUGCUGCAUGGCUGUCGUCAGCUCGUGUCGUGAGAUGUUGGGUUAAGUCCCGCAACGAGCGCAACCCUUUUCCUUAUUUGCCAGCGAGUAAUGUCGGGAACUUUAAGGAUACUGCCAGUGACAAACUGGAGGAAGGCGGGGACGACGUCAAGUCAUCAUGGCCCUUACGGCCAGGGCUACACACGUGCUACAAUGGUCGGUACAAAGGGUUGCUACACAGCGAUGUGAUGCUAAUCUCAAAAAGCCGAUCGUAGUCCGGAUUGGAGUCUGCAGACUCGACUCCAUGAAGUCGGAAUCGCUCGUAAUCGCGGGUCAGAAUGGGGGCGUUGAAUACUUUCCCGGGCCCUCUACACACCGCCCGU
rnacentral:rRNA from 1 species